rnacentral:rRNA from 1 species
GACGAACGCUGGCGGCGUGCUUAACACAUGCAAGUCGAACGGAAAGGCCCUGCUUUUUUUGGGUGCUCGAGUGGCGAACGGAUGAGUAACGUGUGAGUAACCUGCCCUUGACUUUGGGAUAACUUCAGGAAACGGGGGCUAAUACCGUAUAGGAUCUCCUGCUGCAUGGUGGGGGUUGGAAAGGUUCGGCGGUUGGGGAUGGACGCGCGGCUUAUCAGCUUGUUGGUGGGGUAGUGGCUUACGAAGGCUUUGACGGGUAGCCGGCCUGAGAGGGUGACAGGCAACAUUGGGACUGAGAUACGGCCCAGACUCCUACGGGAGGCAGCAGUGGGGAAUAUUGCACAACGGGCGGAAGCCUGAUGCAGCAACGCCGCGUGCGGGAUGACGGCCUUCGGGUUGUAAACCGCUUUCGCCUGUGACGAAGCGUGAGUGACGGUAAUGGGUAAAGAAGCACCGGCUAACUACGUG